AGUUGCCUGAGGACAGCAGUGCAGUUGACAUGGAUAUUCUCUUUCCUCUGCACAGUGUUAUUGGUACAGAGCUGUGCCCCAGCUCCAUUCCCCAGAUCAUCCAUUUCGUCCUCUUUGUUGUGUUCAGCCUGGUGAUCCUGAUUAUCUUACGCCUCUACAUUCCCAGGGAGCCGUCCUCAGUGCCUCCCAGAGAGGACAGCGAGAAUGAUCAAGCUGAAGUGGGGGAAUGGCUCAGGAUCGGAAAUAAAUAUAUCACUUUGAAAGAUUACAGAAUUCUCUUGAAAGAACUGGAGAACCUUGAGAUCUACACUUUCCUGUCGAAAAAGUGCCUGAAGAAGCUCUCUAGGGAGGGCAGCUCCGAUCACCUUCCACGCCAAGUCCGCCCAGGGCCAGUGUACAAACGAGCACCUGCUAGGAACCACCGGCCACGUGGGGGGCGUGGGAAAGCUUCUCCCACCAGCUUCCAUGUGUCCCCACGGGCUCCCCCGGCUCCUCUGGCCUCCAUGCCGUCAUCAGUCCCGAAGACCUCUGUAGAGUCCUUGGGGUAUCUAUCAUCCCUGAGCUCCUCCAAGCCACGAGAGCCUCUGUGUCCCCUGAAGCACCCUUCACACCAGCCACCUGCGAGCACCCUAUCACCAAACCCGACCACCUCCACAGAAUCCUUGGGGUAUCUGUCAUCCCUCAGCUCCUCCCAGCCACCAGAGCCUUUGCGUCCCCUGAAGCACCCUUCACACAAGCCACGUGGGCGUUCCCUUCCCCAACGACGGAAUCCUGGCUGGGUGUCCUGGUCCGACUCCAUGCAGGCUGAUUCCGAAACUGACGCCAUAAUAUGCCCAAUGUGCAAGGCCCCUGAGCGCUCCUGUCCACACACCUGGUGGGUGCCUUCUAGCCCUCGAGUGAUCCGAGGCGUUGGUCGCUGCAGUGAUCCCAACCUGGGCCUCUCCUGGAGGCAGGAGGCUGCUAGAGCCUGGUGCCACUGCACCUCCUCACAGUUCCCAUUCAAGCACCCUAAUCUUCCCACCCACCUACCAAAGGCUUCCUUCUAGGGAGACCCCACAUGCAGGCAGGUGGAGGCAGGGGUCCCGCUUUCCUCAGCCUGGAUGUGCCAACGCUGCUGGACGCACAAGACACCAAAACCCCAGACACUCCCAUGGACACCAAAUAUCCGACAUCCACGAACAAUUGGGAAUCUCCUGAGGACAACUUGGAGAUGGAGUCUCACUCUGUUGCUCAGGCUGGAGUGCAGUGGCACCAUCUUGGCUCACCACAACCUCCGCCUCCCGGAUUCAAGUCAUUCUCCUGCCUCAGCCUCCCGAGUAGCUGGGAUUACAGGCUCGUGCCACCGCACCCAGCUAAUUUUUGUAAUUUUAGUCGAGAGAAGGUGUCACCAUGUUGGCCAGGCUUGUCUUGAACUCCUGACCUUGAGAUAUCUGCCCACCUCAGCCUCUCAAAGUGCUGGGAUUAUAGGCUUGAGCCACCACGCCCGGAUGAAUCACAAAUUGUAAACCUGAAUAAAAUGCUGCAACCUCCAAUGAGAGGAAAA
rnacentral:sRNA from 1 species